rnacentral:rRNA from 1 species
AUUGAACGCUGGCGGCAGGCCUAACACAUGCAAGUCGAACGGUAACAGGAAGAAGCUUGCUUCUUUGCUGACGAGUGGCGGACGGGUGAGUAAUGUCUGUGAAACUGCCUGAUGGAGGGGGAUAACUACUGGAAACGGUAGCUAAUACCGCAUAACGUCGCAAGACCAAAGAGGGGGACCUUCGGGCCUCUUGCCAUCGGCUGUGCCCAGAUGGGAUUAGCUAGUAGGUGGGGUAACGGCUCACCUAGGCGACGAUCCCUAGCUGGUCUGAGAGGAUGACCAGCCACACUGGAACUGAGACACGGUCCAGACUCCUACGGGAGGCAGCAGUGGGGAAUAUUGCACAAUGGGCGCAAGCCUGAUGCAGCCAUGCCGCGUGUAUGAAGAAGGCCUUCGGGUUGUAAAGUACUUUCAGCGGGGAGGAAGGGAGUAAAGUUAAUACCUUUGCUCAUUGACGUUACCCGCAGAAGAAGCACCGGCUAACUCCGUG